UGGGGAAUAUUGCACAAUGGGGGAAACCCUGAUGCAGCGACGCCGCGUGAAGGAAGAAGUAUCUCGGUAUGUAAACUUCUAUCAGCAGGGAAGAUAAUGACGGUACCUGACUAAGAAGCCUCGGCUAACUACGUGCCAGCAGCCGCGGUAAUACGUAGGGGGCAAGCGUUAUCCGGAUUUACUGGGUGUAAAGGGAGCGUAGACGGAACAGCAAGUCUGAUGUGAAAGGCAUGGGCUCAACCUGUGGACUGCAUUGGAAACUGUUGGUCUUGAGUACCGGAGGGGUAAGCGGAAUUCCUAGUGUAGCGGUGAAAUGCUUAGAUAUUGCGCAGAACUCCGAUUGCGAAGGCAGCGUACUGGCGCCUGACUGACGCUGAGGCACGAAAGCGUGGGGAUCGAACAGGAUUAGAUACCC
rnacentral:rRNA from 1 species